UUUUAAUAGGAGGAAAGGGAUUUCUAUUUUUCGCAAAGUCUAUCCGCAAUUCUUUGCAUUUGUUUCAAAUUACUCCACGCGAGAUCAAGUGACACUCGAGUGAUUCAUGCGUGUGAUUCAUGCAUGUCACAUACACACGUAAAAACGCACAAGUUGUAACAAACCUGCAGCAGACUUGUAGCAAUGCUGUUCCAACAACUUGUCAACAGGAUGUGUUCGCACUGCUUGUUCCCAGCUUGUUGACAACUUGCUACAAGGUUGUUGAGCUCAUCAGACGUGUUACAAGUUGUUCUAACAACUUGAUACCAACAAUUUGUCAACAAAUUGUGAGUGACAACCUUGUAGCAACUU